ACGUUCACCUUCACCUUCUCCUUCACGCACAGCUGCUGAUUCUCCUUCACCUGCACAGCCCAUCUCUCCCUCGGCCGAGCUUCACUCUUCAAGCCCGACGCAGGAAGUGAUGAAGGUGGAAGGGUACGAUGAGUUUAUGCUUGCAACUGCAUUCGACCAUUUGAAUGGAGAUGAGAAGCUUGCAAGAAGAUUUCUAGUAAAGAAUGCUAAACUUAGAAAGUUUUGGUUUGACAACUUCUUCAAAAACCAUGGAAAUUAGAAUUUGUGUAUUAUCGAUAUGUAGUAAGAUACUAAUGAACUUGGAUGGUAGUUCUUUGGCCAAAAUAUUGUAAUAUUUAUGGUUGAAUUUUAGAAUU